ACUCCUACGGGAGGCAGCAGUGGGGAAUCUUAGACAAUGGGGGCAACCCUGAUCUAGCCAUGCCGCGUGAGUGAUGAAGGCCUUAGGGUCGUAAAGCUCUUUCGCCAGGGAAGAUAAUGACGGUACCUGGUAAAGAAACCCCGGCUGAACUCCAGUGCCAGCCAGCCGCCGGGUAAUACGGAGGGGUUAGCGUUGUUCGGAAUUACUGGGCGUAAAGCGCGCGUAGGCGGAUUAGUCAGUCAGGGGUGAAAUCCCGGGGCUCAACCCGAACAUGCCUUUGAUACUGCUAGUCUUGAGUUCGAGAGAGGUGAGUGGAAUUCCGAGUGUAGAGGUGAAAUUCGUAGAUAUUCGGAGGAACACCAGUGGCGAAGGCGGCUCACUGGCUCGAUACUGACGCUGAGGUGCGAAAGUGUGGGGAGCAAACAGGAUUAGAUACCCUGGUAGA
rnacentral:rRNA from 1 species